rnacentral:rRNA from 1 species
AUGGAUAACAUGGAGGGGAUGAUGAGGAAUUUGAACUUGUCGGCGGCGGAAAAGAAGGUAGUCAAGGUGAUGAGGCCGAAGGAGGGAGUGUUGUCUUCUGCGGAUCCGCAAGCAGUGGGGAGGGUGUUCUCGGAGAAACCUGUGUCGGCGGAAGCUUUGGCUAUGUCGCUGGGGAAAGCGUGGUGCUCUAGCAGGGGGAUUGGAUGCAAGGGUCUUGGAGAAAAUACCUUCCUCUUCACGUUUUUGCAGGCAUCGGGGAAGAGUAAGGCUUUGGAGGAGGGGCCCUGGAUGUUUGAUCACGAUUUACUUGUGGUUAUUGAAUAUGAGCCAAUGAAAACGGUGCCUGAGAUGGAAUUUAUCGCGGUGCCUGUUUGGAUACGACUUUUUGGUUUGCCUGUUGGGUACAUGGACAAGAAUAUGGGAGAGGACAUUGGAGACCAAGUUGGGACGUUCAUAGAGAUGGAUGCAGAUGAGGAUGGCACAGCUGUAGGUCAGUUUAUUAGAGUGAAAGUUCGUUUGGACAUUCGUCAACCAUUGCUUAGGGGAGUUCUGGUGCCAAUGGAGGGGAAGGAGCGGAAGGAGAAGUGGUGUGAUUUCAAGUAUGAAUUUUUGCCAAAUUUUUGUUACAGUUGUGGAAGGCUGGGUUACAUGAUGGGUGUUUGCAGUAAGAAGAAAACAACAUCUGAUUUUCUAGAGUUUGGCUCUUGGCUUCGUUUUAUCCCACCAAAAAGACAUGGUUCUGGUGAGAGAACAAGGUAUGGUGGACAGGGGAGUGGUUUUAGCAUGAAUUUUUGGAGUAAUAGCCCAGGUGGGGGAGUAGGCAGCAGGAGUAGUGGUUCAUGGCGGAAGAAUGAUUUUUGGUCUGAUGAUAGAGGAACGCUCGUGAUAAAACUUGGAGAGAUAAGGUGGGGAUGGAGGAAGGGCACCAUGUCAAUAAUAAUAAAGAGAAGGAUGGGGGGAGUAAGGAAGUUAUUGUUUUUGGAAGAAAGAAAGAAGGGUUAG